AUUAGGAAUCAGGUGGAGGAAAAACAAGCGGGAGCCUGACGCUUUGAAGGGAAAUAAUUGUGGCCUGCGUGGGAAGUGAACGGUAAAGCGCUUCCCAACAGAUUUAUUACCGAAAAAGCCCAUGAUUCAGCGAUUUCUCUUGCUUAUUUAAUUCGAUCCUCACGCUCACGCGAAUUGCGUAAUAAAGAGAAGCGAUUCUAGAGCUGCAGGUGUCGGAUUGGGGUUUGGGGUUUUGUCGAGGCUCCAAACAUGGACGACGGCGUUGUUCAGCGAGUUUUUCAGCAAGGAGGCCGAGACUACGAAUCCUCCUCAACUUCUUCCAUUCUCCAAUCUCUUCCCCUCCAUGCGUCUUUUGAUCAUGGGUAUUACUUGUUAGUAAAAUCCAUUCAAGAACUCAGACAGAAAAAAGAUGGUCUUGUUACGGUUGGUAUUGGCGGUCCUAGCGGUUCUGGUAAAACAAGCUUAGCUGAGAAGGUUGCAUCUGUAAUUGGUUGCACUAUUAUAUCAAUGGAGAACUAUCGCGAUGGUGUUGAUGAAGGGAAUGUUUUGGACUCAAUAGAUUUUGAUACAUUGGUACAAAAUCUCGAGGACUUGACAAAAGGCAAAGAUACUAUGAUACCUGUGUUUGAUUACCAACAAAAGAAAUGCAUUGGUUCCAAGGCAAUAAAAAGUUCUUCAUCUGGGGUGGUAAUAGUUGAUGGUACCUAUGCUCUGAAUGCAAGAUUGCGCUCUUUGCUAGAUAUACGGGUUGCAGUGGUUGGUGGUGUUCACUUUAGUCUCCUUUCUAAAGUCCGAUAUGACAUUGGGGAUUCUUGUUCCCUGGAUUAUCUUAUUGACAGCAUUUUCCCACUGUUCAGAAAGCACAUUGAGCCAGACCUUCAUCAUGCACAAAUUAGAAUAAACAACAGCUUUGUUUCAUCAUUUAGAGAAGCAAUCUACAAGCUGAAGCGUAGAAGUGAGACACCAGACGGGCAUUCUGCCUUUGCCUUUCAAGAAAAUGAAGCUCAAAAAGAUAAUUUUAUUGAGAUGUAUCUUAGGCCUCCAUCGGCAAGUGAAGAGGCGCGGAUAAAUGAUUGGAUUAAGGUGCGGCAAUCUGGUAUAAGGUAUUAUCUGUCGCUUGGGGACCAGAGGAUUGUUGAAAAAAGUUUCAUUAUCAGGCCAAAAGCUGAAUUUGAGGUUGGGCGUAUGACACUCGGUGGAUUGCUGGCUUUGGGGUAUACUGUUGUUGUCAGCUAUAAACGGGCAUCAGUAUCUGUUAAUAUCGGCAGUCUUUCAUUAUCACGUGAAACCAUUGACACUCUUGAUGAGACGUACAUGGUGCUGAGGGGCACGGAUAGGAAAACAGUUGGAGCUGAAGCACUGAAGAUGGCUAUCAAUGGCCCAUGGAUCACCAAAUCAUAUCUGGAGAUGAUUCUUGAGAGAAAAGGUGUACCACGUCUUAAUACACCACCGCCUAUUUCCAGCUCAUCUAUAGCUAUUAACCAAGAAAGGGUGAUUGCUGCCCCAAGGCCAAUUCGUACUACUCCAAACCUUGUUACUCGGCUUGAAGACCUAUCUCAGCCUUGGACACGAUCACCAACAAAAUCGAAAAUGGAACCUGUAUUAGCAACGUGGCAUUUCAUCUCAUCAGAUCCAUCGCAUGCUGAUAGCUCAGGAAUAGAUUCAUCUUCUUUCAGGGAUACAAUAAAGCUUGCUCCAAUGCCUGAUUCAUAUGACCUAGAUAGAGGACUGCUUCUUUCAGUUCAAGCCAUACAAGCCUUGUUGGAGAAUAAAGGUCUCCCUGUUGUGGUUGGAAUUGGAGGUCCAAGUGGAUCUGGGAAAACUAGUUUGGCUCACAAAAUGGCAAAUAUUGUUGGUUGCGAAGUAGUUUCCCUUGAAAGCUAUUUUAAAUCUGAACAAGUGAAGGAUUAUAAGUAUGAUGACUUUAGCUCUCUUGAUCUAUCUUUGCUUUCUAAGAACAUUGAUGACAUCCUGAACCGUCGAAGAACAAAAGUACCCAUUUUUGACUUGGAGACUGGUGCUCGUAGUGGCUUCAAGGAGCUUGAAGUUUCUGAAGAUUGUGGCGUGAUAAUUUUUGAAGGUGUUUACGCUCUGCAUCCUGAGAUCCGAAAGUCACUUGACUUGUGGAUUGCUGUUGUUGGAGGUGUUCAUUCGCAUCUGAUUUCUCGAGUUCAGAGGGACAAGAGUAAAGUGGGGUGCUUCUUAUCUCAAAAUGAGAUCAUGAUGACGGUGUUUCCCAUUUUCCAGCAGCACAUUGAACCUCAUCUCGUUCAUGCACAUCUAAAGAUUCGAAAUGACUUUGAUCCGGUGCUUUCCCCCGAGAGUUCGUUGUUUGUUUUAAAGACUAACAAGCAAGUAGCUUACCAAGAUAUUUUAAAAGUCCUAGAUCCUGCAAAGUUUUGUAGUUCUGUUCAGAAUUUCAUUGAUAUAUACUUGAGGCUUCCGGGAAUUCCAACUAAUGGGCAAUUAACAGAGAGUGAUUGCAUACGUGUCAGAAUAUGUGAGGGUAGAUUUGCGUUGCUUAUACGAGAGCCCAUAAGAGAGGGGGAUUUCAUCAUUCAGCCCAAAGUGGAUUUUGAUAUUAGCAUCAGUACAGUGGCCGGCCUUCUUAACCUUGGGUAUCAAGCUGUCACAUAUAUUGAAGCAUCCGCAUACAUAUACCAGGAUGGAAAGAUUCUUAUUGAGGUUGAUCAUCUACAAGAUUCCCCUAGCCCUUACCUUCAGAUCAAAGGGGUUGAUAAGGAGGCUGUGGCUGCUGCUGGUUCAAUGCUUAAACUGGAUGCUUCAUAUACAACGAAGAGUUAUCUUCAAAUAAUUUUGGAAAGACUACCACCCGUUGAGAGGAGUUCCAACGGAAUCCAUGCUCAGCAAGCUGCAAGGUUGCAAGAACUUGUUGAGUUUAUACAAUCUCAGGCGGAAAAUGCUAAUUUUAGUUGGGAUAUUGUUGUCCAACUACCAGGGAAGCAGUUCAGCUUCAGAAUCCUCACAAAGUAGGGAGGCUUCCCCUCUGGAAGGCAUAAUUGAAGAAAUGCAGUGCAGGAUAAGAAGGCUUGAACGAUGGCAUACUAUUAACACGGUACUAUGGACUUUCCUGAUGUCUGCCCUUGUUGGUUAUUCACUUUACCAGAGAAAGCGGCAGUAAUACUGAUUAUGGCUUGUCGAGCCAGCGGAUUUUGCUUUGUCAAAGAGCUUUUCUCGUUGAAUUUCUCACGGGAGUUCUUUGAACUGCUUACUUGGAUUCUUGACACAGUUUACAUUUAGCGUCCAGUUCCUCCAGGAGCGGGUGAUAGUGAGGUACUUUAACCUCAAAGCAAAAUUUUUAGUUGCUCAGUGGCUCCGAGUUGUGAAUUCUUAAUUUUGAGGGGAGUGAGUGUUUGGAGAGGCGAUUAUUAGAAUUAAAGAUAUCAAAGGUAGUAUAUGCAUAAAUGGCAAAGGUGGUAUAUGCUCUUUAUGCGUUGAAUUUGUGUUCAUAAUUUCUGGUGACUAAUUAGAAUUUUGAUCCCUUGGUAUAUUCUCCACACAUUUUACGUAUUAAUGUGAUUGACGCAAGUCAAGCAGAAGCUGCAGUUAAUCUUCACCCGGACUUCUGAAUUCUCACAGGUAAUUGUUUUUUUUCGGGUCACAUUGCUCAUUGCUAACUUUUAUAUUAUAGGCGAGUAUGUGGCUUAGUGGUAGAGUUGCAGAUGUACAAUGACUUGUAGUCCUUGUCCUUUGCAUUGUUCUUUUAUUUACGUUGAUCCUGUACUGGUUUUUAUGUU